rnacentral:rRNA from 1 species
AAGUUAAUAAAAUUAAAUUAUAAAUAGAAUUAUAAGGUUAAAAUAUUAUUAUAUAUUAGUAUGGAAUUUAGAAAUUAUAAAAAUUUUAUGUUACAGUUAUGGAAUUUAUGAAAUAUUAUAGAAAAGUUAUGUGGUAGUAAUAAUAAAUUUAUGUACCUUUUGUAUCAGGGUUUUUCAAAUUUAUAUAAUUAUUUAUUUGUCCCGAAAUAUUUUGAUUUAUUAUAAUAUAUAUAUUAAUGUUGUAAAGUUAUAUAAAAUAUUAUAAUGGUAAUGAAAAGUUAUGCGUUGAAUAUGAUAUCUGGUUAUUUAAGAUGAUAAUUUAAUUUAUUUGUGUUGUAGAAGGUAAAAAUAAUAGGAUAAGUUUGUUCUUUUGUAAAAAGCUUUACAGCAUCAGCAAGUGGUUGAGGGAUAAGCUUCAAUUAUAUUUUAUAAGUAAUAGAUGAUGAAUAAAUAAUAAAUUUAGGAUUAUAAGUUUUUAAAAUUAUAAUGAGUGUUAUAACGUAUGUUUUUGUAUAAAGAUUUAAUGUAUUUUAAAGAAUUAUUAAAUUAUUAAUAUUAAAAUUAAAAUGUUAAUUAAUAAUGUAAGAAUUAGUAUAUAAUAUAAAUUUAUUGAAGUAUUUUGUAUAUUAAGAUCUUUAGAAGGAAUUUGGCAAAAUAGUUUUUCGCCUGUUUAUCAAAAACAUGGUUUUAUGUAAUGAAUAUAAGAUCAGGCCUGCCCACUGAUAGUUAUUGAAUGGCCGCAGUAUUUUGACUGUGCAAAGGUAGCAUAAUAAUUUGUCUUUUAAUUGGAGGCUGGAAUGAAUGGUUUUAUGAAAAAACUACUGUCUCCUAAGGAUAUAUAGAAUUUAAUUUUUUGGUGAAAAAGCUGGAGGGAAUAAAUAAUUUUGGAGGACAAUAAGACCCUAUAGAUCUUAAUAUAAAUUUAAGGUUUUGAAGUUAGUAUUGUAAUAAUUAAAUAUUUUAUGUUUAUAUUUAGUUGGGGCGACUAGAAGAGAUAUAAAUCUCUUUUUUUUUAUUAUAUUUAUUUAUAUAAAUGUUUGUUGAUCCAAAAUUUUUGAUUAAAAGAAUAAGUUACCUUAGGGAUAACAGCGUAAUCUUUUUAGAGAGUUCUAAUCGAUAAAAAGGGUUGCGACCUCGAUGUUGGAUUAAGAUGUCCUAUUAAUUAUAAUGGUGUAGUAGCUUUAUAAGGAAGGUCUGUUCGACCUUUAAAAUCUUACAUGAUCUGAGUUCAGACCGGCGUAAGCCAGGUUGGUUUAUAUCCUCAAAUAUAAAAAAUUAUAUUUUUAGUACGAAAGGACCAAAAUAUAAAAAAAUUUUUUUAUUUAUGAAUUUAAUUAAUUU